rnacentral:rRNA from 1 species
CCUACGGGAGGCAGCAGUGGGGAAUUUUGGACAAUGGGCGCAAGCCUGAUCCAGCAAUGCCGCGUGCAGGAAGAAGGCCUUCGGGUUGUAAACUGCUUUUGUCAGGGAAGAAAUCUUCUGGGCUAAUAUCCCGGGAGGAUGACGGUACCUGAAGAAUAAGCACCGGCUAACUACGUGCCAGCAGCCGCGGUAAUACGUAGGGUGCGAGCGUUAAUCGGAAUUACUGGGCGUAAAGCGUGCGCAGGCGGCUUUGCAAGACAGAGGUGAAAUCCCCGGGCUCAACCUGGGAACUGCCUUUGUGACUGCAAGGCUAGAGUACGGCAGAGGGGGAUGGAAUUCCGCGUGUAGCAGUGAAAUGCGUAGAUAUGCGGAGGAACACCGAUGGCGAAGGCAAUCCCCUAGGGCCUGGUACUGACGCUCAUGCACGAAAGCGUGGGGAGCAAACAGGAUUAGAUACCCUGGUAGUCCACGCCCUAAACGAUGUCAACUGGUUNUUGGACGGCUUGCUGUUCAGUACGAAGCUAACGCGUGAAGUUGACCGCCUGGGGAGUAGGCCGCAAGGUUGAAACCGUUAAAUUGAAUUGAGGGCUUGGAGNGNGCGAGCGACGAGAGGAGGAGG